rnacentral:rRNA from 1 species
UACGAACCGUCCAAACGUUAUUCGGAAUUACUGGGCUUAAAGGGUUUGUAGGCGGCCUUGUAAGUGGGGUGUGAAAUCCCUCGGCUCAACCGAGGAAUAGCGCUCCAAACUACAUGGCUUGAGGGAGACAGGGGUAAGCGGAACUGAUGGUGGAGCGGUGAAAUGCGUUGAUAUCAUCAGGAACACCGGUGGCGAAAGCGGCUUACUGGGUCUCUUCUGACGCUGAGAAACGAAAGCUAGGGGAGCAAACAGG